GUACUUAUCUUGACGAGGUCAAUGGGGGAUCAUGACGGUCCAUGGCCUAGAUUGGCAAUUUCCAUUGCAUUUUGAAGAGGCACCCAUUUAAGGUCGGCUCAAGUGGUUGAGCCUGCGUCAGAAUUUAUGCUAGACCCUGC
rnacentral:snRNA from 1 species